CCGCCCGUCGCUACUACCGAUUGAAUGGUUUAGUGAGGUCUUCGGACCGGCGGUAAGCGGGACCGUCUUCGUGUCGGUCUUGCCGAACGCUGGGAAGAUGACCAAACUUGAGCAUUUAGAGGAAGCAAAAGUCGUAACAAGGUUUCCGUAGGUGAACCUGCGGAAGGAUCAUUA
rnacentral:rRNA from 2 species